UUUCUUGAGUGUGUGGGAGUGAAGUCGAACCUGCAGGCUAUAAGGCCUUGAAUACUGGUUCCCAGGACAAGUUUCUCAGGUAUAAGUCAGACACUUGUCCAGUGCAUCCCGAAGCUGCAGGGGACACACAUCAAGUUCUCAGAAUCAUCUCACUGAAGCCCCUAUCACCAUGUUGAGGCCUCAGUUUCUUUGGCUGUGAAAUGCCCUGCCUUCCCAGCUGACUGCUCAGAAACUACAUGAUAGUGGGUGAGUAACAUGCUCUACAAAUACAAUAAUAAGCUUUUGUUCCCUCCUGCCCCAGAGCCUGUGCCCCUUUCCUAGAUCCUGGCCGACUAAGUAUCCAUCACACCAGGAUGGUGCAAUGUCACCCUGGAGUGCAGGGCCACAGAGGACCUGAAGGUGACCUGGGCAAGCAAGGGCCUCCCCAGGGAGCUGGAACAGAGGAACACUGGGGCCAAGCUCUGAGCCCCCCUAAGCCAGCCUGACUCCAGCCUCACCUGUGUGGUCAACAACCAUGUGGACCAGAAAACUACCACCUUAGACCUUGGGGAACUCUCUUGGGAUUAAGAGUGUGCCUGGCAAAGUGAGUGUGCCCACCUCUGCGGACAUUCAUUCCCGAGGAGAUUGGGGGUAUGGUAGGUUGGUGCUCAUCAUUGUCAAGAAGUAUGAUUCCAACCUCCCCAGCCCUUGGGACAGUACCAGAUGAGAUGGGAAUCAGAGAUAAUAAAGGUUGGCAUAUGACCCAGGAAAUUAUGGGAGGAGGUACGACGGCUGUACCAGGCACUGAUGUUUAU